UACGAAGGGGGCUAGCGUUGCUCGGAAUUACUGGGCGUAAAGGGCGCGUAGGCGGACAGUUAAGUUGGGGGUGAAAGCCCGGGGCUCAACCUCGGAAUUGCCUUCAAUACUGGCUGUCUUGAGUACGGGAGAGGUGUGUGGAACUCCGAGUGUAGAGGUGAAAUUCGUAGAUAUUCGGAAGAACACCAGUGGCGAAGGCGACACACUGGCCCGUUACUGACGCUGAGGCUCGAAAGCGUGGGGAGCAAACAGG
rnacentral:rRNA from 1 species